rnacentral:rRNA from 1 species
UACAGAGGGGGCAAGCGUUGUUCGGAAUUACUGGGCGUAAAGGGCGCGUAGGCGGCCUGUUAAGUCGGACGUGAAAUCCCUCGGCUCAACCGGGGAACUGCGUCCGAUACUGGCGGGCUUGAAUUCGGGAGAGGGAUGUGGAAUUCCAGGUGUAGCGGUGAAAUGCGUAGAUAUCUGGAGGAACACCAAUGGCGAAGGCAGCUCGCUGGGACGUGACUGACGCUGAGACGCGAAAGCGUGGGGAGCAAACAGG